CCCUUAGAUGUUCUGGGCUGCACGCGCGCUACACUGAUGCGUUCAACGAGUUUAUAACCUUGCCCGAUAGGGUUGGGUAAUCUUUUGAAAACGCAUCGUGAUGGGGAUAGAUUAUUGUAAUUAUUAAUCUUCAACGAGGAAUUCCUAGUAAGCGCGAAUCAUCAGUUCGUGCUGAUUACGUCCCUGCCCUUUGUACACACCGCCCGUCGCUCCUACCGAUUGAGUGGUCCGGUGAAUUAUUCGGACUGCAACGCGUUCAGCUUCUGGAUGCAGUUGCGGAAAGUUUUGUAAACCUUAUCACUUAGAGGAAGGAGAAGUCGUAACA
rnacentral:rRNA from 1 species